UGACUCCUUUGAUUGUGAACGAUCUGAUUGUGAGGGGAUGGGUUGACAAUUAUGACAAAAUCCUUAAUGAUGUGGAUCCAACCAACAAUCCAUUUGGUGAGCGGUCUCCGGUAGAUGCAGACAAUGUCUCAAAUGAUCCACAAGCGCCAUCAAAGAAAAGAAAAAGAGGACAAAGAAGAAACCACAAUGCCUAUGCUAGCAAAAGCACGAAGUACUGGGACAAGGUUUACAAUUUUUUUCAACUCAAGAGGACAAUCCAUAGGAAAAAAUGCUGCUUCCUACCAAAGUUACUUAGGGGUUUUGGCACGAUCCAAGAUCCCAAUUAACAUAAAAAAUUGGAAGCUAGUUGACGAUGAUAUCAAGAAUCGUGUAUGGAAAUGUGUACAGGCAACGUUUAUUAUUGAUGAUGCAUACCGGCCGAUCAAUUUGUGAUAAGUGGUGAUCAUUCAAAAAUUAUUUGACAAGGAAUAUAAUUGACAAGAAUAUUAACAACCCAGAUGUGUUGAAGAAAAAACCCAAGCGAUACCAAUGUAGAGAACAAAACCAUUGGGAUGAGUUUGUCAAAAGUCGGCUUAGUCUUGAGUUCAAGAAACUACAAGCAGAACAAAAAGCUCGACAAGCGAAGUACCUUUAUCCUCAUCGAAUGGCCCGGAAAGGAUAUGCAAAACUAGAGGCUCAACUAAAAGAGAAAAAGAAUUUGACAGAUGAUAUUGAUCCUUCUAUACUUUGGAAGGAGGCUAGAAAAGAUAGCAACAGCCAAUACCUUAAUGAUGCCACUCGGGCUGUUGUUGAUAAAAUAGAUGAGAUUCAUGUACUCAAGGGGAGAUCACUACCACUGGAAUGAAUGAUGUGUUGACUAUGGCUCUCGGCACAAAAGAGCAUUCUGAACGGACAAGGGGUCAAGGUGGUACAGUUGUUCGCAAGAUGUAUUUUCGAAAACAGGACAAUAACAGUCAAUUAACGAUUGAACUUAAGAAAGAGUGGGAA